UACAGGGGGGGGCAAGCGUUGUUCGGAAUUACUGGGCGUAAAGGGCCAGUAGGCGGCCAACUAAGUCACACGUGAAAUCCCCAGGCUUAACCUGGGAACUGCGUGUGAUACUGGAUGGCUUGAGGUUGGGAGAGGGAUGCGGAAUUCCAGGUGUAGCGGUGAAAUGCGCAGAUAUCAGGAGGAACACCGGUGGCGAAGGCGGCAUUCUGGACCGGCAUUGACGCUGAGGCGCGAAAGCCAGGGGAGCAAACGGG
rnacentral:rRNA from 1 species